UACCUGUUCAAACUCAUCCCAUUGCGUUUUUUUUAAAUGGCUAUUGAGUUCUGUCCGUUAUCGGCUUGGGAAUUUGAGAAUUUUGUGCAAUGCUCCUUUGUCUCUCUGUUAAGUCUGAAAGUAAUGUAGCUACCAUCUGUGAAGAGCCCUGGACCUCUCUUGACCUAGAAUCAGAAUGCUAGUUAUACAUAUCCAGCAUGCCUCCUCUGUACUAAAGAUUAAUACAUUUUUGGGAUUUUUUAUUAUCAUUGCUGAAUUUUUAUGGCUUAAUGCUUCAGUGCUGCGUCAGUGUUUAAAUUUUCCUCUUUUCUUUUAAAAAAUAAAUAAAUCCAUAUCCAUGUGCUCUAUAAACCUCUUCAAUAUUCAUACUGGUGUUGUUAAAUUACCGAAAUUACACCAAAGAAAUUAUUUUACCUAUUGUAGCAGUAUGUAAAAAUAAAAUUUAUUUUAUCUUUUUAGAGUUUA